rnacentral:rRNA from 1 species
CUGGUAAAGCGAAUGAUUAGAGGCCUUAGGGCCGAAACGACCUUAACCUAUUCUCAAACUUUAAAUGGGUAAGAACCUUAUCUUACUUGAUAUGAAGAUAAAGGUUGUGAUAUAUUGUGCCCAGUGGGCCACUUUUGGUAAGCAAAACUGGCGCUGUGGGAUGAACCAAACGUAAUGUUAUGGCGCCUAAAUUAACAACUCAUACUGAUACCAUGAAAGGCGUUGCUUGCUUAAAACACCAGGACGGUGGACAUGGAAGUCGUAAUCCGCUAAGGAGUGUGUAAAAACUCACCUGCCGAACCAACUACCCCUUAAAAUGGAUGGCGCUCAAGUUGUAUGCCUAUACAUUACCGCUAAAGCAUAUGAUUUA